rnacentral:tRNA from 1 species
UGAGGUCUAGCUCAGUGGUACAGCACUUGCCUAGCAUGCAUGAGGCACUGGGUUCAAUCCUCAGCACCACAU